GUGGGGAAUCUUGCGCAAUGGGCGAAAGCCUGACGCAGCCAUGCCGCGUGAAUGAUGAAGGUCUUAGGAUUGUAAAAUUCUUUCACCGGGGACGAUAAUGACGGUACCCGGAGAAGAAGCUCCGGCUAACUUCGUGUCAGCAGCCGCGGUAAUACGAAGGGGGCUAGCGUUGCUCGGAAUUACUGGGCGUAAAGGGCGCGUAGGCGGACAGCUUAGUCAGAGGUGAAAGCCCAGGGCUCAACCUUGGAAUUGCCUUUGAUACUGGCUGUCUUGAGUUUGGGAGAGGUGAGUGGAACUCCGAGUGUAGAGGUGAAAUUCGUAGAUAUUCGGAAGAACACCAGUGGCGAAGGCGACUCACUGGCCCAAUACUGACGCUGAGGCGCGAAAGCGUGGGGAGCAAACAGGAUUAGAAACCCUGGUAGUCC
rnacentral:rRNA from 1 species